UGUUUAUCAAAAACAUGUCUUUUAGAUAAUAAUUUAAAGUCUAACCUGCCCACUGAUUUAUUAAAGGGCCGCGGUAUAUUGACUGUGCAAAGGUAGCAUAAUCAUUUGUCUUUUAAUUGAAGGCUGGAAUGAAUGGUUGAAUGAAGUAUUAACUGUCUCAUUUUAAAAAAAAUAAAAAUUUAAUUUUUUAGUCAAAAAGCUAAAAUAAAUUUAGAGGACGAGAAGACCCUAUAGAUCUUUAUAAUAAAAUUUAAUAAAAAUUUUUAGAAUAAAAAAAAAAUUAUUAAAUUAAAUUAUUUGGUUGGGGUGACAGGAAAAUUUAAUAAACUAUUUUUAUAUAAGAACAAUAAUUUUUGAAUAUUUGAUCCAAUUUUAUUGAUUAAAAAAUUAAGUUACCUUAGGGAUAACAGCGUAAUUUUUUUAGAGAGUUCAUAUCGAUAAAAAAGAUUGCGACCUCGAUGUUGAAUUAAAGGUUAUUUCUAGAUGCAGAAGUUUAGAGUUUAGGUCUGUUCGACCUUUGAAUCUUUCAUGAUCUGAGUUCAAACCG
rnacentral:rRNA from 1 species